CCUACGGGACGCAGCAGUGGGGAAUAUUGCACAAUGGGGGAAACCCUGAUGCAGCGACGCCGCGUGAGUGAAGAAGUAAUUCGUUAUGUAAAGCUCUAUCAGCAGGGAAGAAACAGACGGUACCUGAGUAAGAAGCCCCGGCUAACUACGUGCCAGCAGCCGCGGUAAUACGUAGGGGGCAAGCGUUAUCCGGAUUUACUGGGUGUAAAGGGAGCGUAGACGGCGAAGAAAGUCUGAAGUGAAAGCCCGCGGCUUAACCGCGGAACUGCUUUGGAAACUUUUUUGCUGGAGUACCGGAGAGGUAA
rnacentral:rRNA from 1 species